CCACCACUAAUUUUUCUUUCACUAGUAAACGUACACGUGCAAUGCACGUACUAACUAAUACUCCAUAUAUAUUUAGUCAAACAUAUUUCAAACAUCAAAAUUUAAAUUGUUGCAUGUGGUGAAACAACAUAGCUCCGUGUCAAAAUGCAAAAAAGAAAAACUAAUUUCAAACAUCAUACUCCAAUAAUGGGAACAAUCCAAAGUUGCCAAUUGAAUGGUGUUCAUCUCUUGAUCAAACAGUGUCACCUUCCAUAAGAUUUACAUUGCAAACCUGGUAGACAAAUAAAAGAAAUCAAUAUCACAAGGGAUCAAUCUUCAGAACAAUUAAAUCUUCAUAAAAAAACACUUAAAUCUUGUUCGGCUCUAUGGACCACUUUAGUGAAGCGGCAAAUUGUAGAUAAUACAACAACCGUAUCAUUUUUUCUGAUGGCAAAAGAGCAACCUAUUAUUAUCAUCAUCCAGAGUGUUUGCAAUGCCAGAUGGUUAAGGACGAACAACAUUACAACAUUGGCAAGCUGACCUCAGGGUGAUCCAUCUUUUUUCAUGCCCAUAUUGGUCAUUUUCACUACACAGGAAGUAUAUUGGAUUCAUUCCCGCAAAAAAAAGUCUAUUGGAUUUCUGAAGAGCAAACACAACAAUUACUUCAUCUUCACAGGGCCACUGGGUCCUCAAAUAAUACAACUUAUACCCUGGCAUCUUUUCUUUUAUACUCCCUCCAUCUUAAAAUGUAAGACAUUUUUUAACACUAUAAAACAUCUUACAUUUCGACACAGAGGGAGUAAGGGAGUAUCUCUUAUGCAGCUACGCUACCAGUUCAGUCUAACUAAAUCUGGUCAAUUACACAAUAUGUAAAAUAUGGCAAAAGGAGCACAUACCUUCAGAUAUUUGCGAGCCAGCUUCAGCCACUAAUCUCACCAAGACUGCUUAUCAUGUGCACCUGCAGCAUUUUUCUAUAUAACAAAAAGUUUUAGAAGACCAUGAGAUUAGGCAUUUCAACCAAUUCACUUAGAAACAUAGUGAGUUUGUAGCUAAUAUAGCUUGAUGGAUUUGUGCAGCCAGUAUCGAUGGCACGCCUUGUAUACUAUGCCUAAGAAAAUAACCACAAAACAUCUAAUUAUGCCUUUUUUAGAAAAGGAGGAUGACCCCCGGCCUGCAUCUGGGAGAUGCAUGCAACCACUUUAUUAACUAUUCACAGAGAACUUACAAAGUAAUACAUCAAUAUGUCUGAAGCCGUCAUCUUGGCAACAUCCGUCGCUACUCAUAUCCAUUGAUGAAGGGGUGCAGAAAGUAUGGGCCGAAUACCUAGACCUCUCACCUAAGCAAAUAUUCAUGUGAAAAUAGAAGUUUUGAAAACCGUAAAACCAUAGGACAGACAAACUGUACCAAGACUAAGCCAAUUAACUAUUUUUCAUCAUCAUCACUCCAAAAGCCUCGGUUCUUUCCACUUUCCUUAGUUCUUGUGAAUUUAUGAUCAAUGCAUAAUGAUCAUAAUUUGGUGCACAUGAUAAUGACAUUCUACCAUGAUAUAAUAAAAAUAAUACCCCAGCAUGAAACUAACCUUAUCGUGGUCAUGUCACUUGUCCACCAGUUGUAGCCUCAUUCUUUUCCUAUAGCUAAAAUCCUGGCCUCCAAGUCCACUACAUGCUUGCACCAUAGCACCAUCCACAAGCUAUCGUGCUCCUUCCAUUGCGAGGAAACAUGAGAAAAAUAUAAGGAAUGAACCAAGGGAAGUUUAGUUCAACAUCCUCUUUCUAACCUUUUCGAAAGAAAACAUCCUCUUCCUAAUGCAAUCAGUAGCCUCAAAAGAGGACCAGCCUAUAACAGGAAUAAUAACUAUGAAUGCAUAAAAACAAAUCCCCUUUGUCAAUAAACAGUUUGUCUGUUUAUCAUGGUAGUUCUGCAAACUGAAGUAAGCCCCUCUACAACAAAACUAAGCAUUAAUAGUUCAACUUGCAAACUGAAGUAAGCCCCUCUACAACAAAACUAAGCAUUAAUAGUUCAACUUGCAAACUGAAGAUGUUGACCCAUCAACCUAAUCCAUCACCAGGCUAGAAUAUUAAUUACCAAAAAUCAUGAACUAAAUAGAUUUGGUAACAUCAUAAUUUUCUUAACUCUAU
rnacentral:lncRNA from 1 species